CUUAAACUCUCUACUUAAACCAUGACUCGCUGCGUUGUGUGGAUUCUUGAAUGGCUCCGGACUUAACAGGACCAAGCACCAGGCACCAGAAUCCUCCUGCCAGAGGGAGAGGGACCCAAGAAAGCCAAGUUCCUUAAAAGCAGCUUCUUUCUGUGCAGAUGGCUGCAGCAGCCUGGACAGAAGGUGAUUCUAAGAUGCAGCCAGGGUAACAAACACCUGAUGAAAAACCAAGUGCUCCAGGCAGCUCUGCUCAGCC